GUCAGGUGCCGAGUCGAUUGACGCUCCGCAAGGGGUGAGGAAAGUCCUGGCACAGAGUAUGGCCGCUCGCGAAAUGCGAGGAGGGGAGACCCUACGGCAACGAACGGACAGCAACGUACCGAUCGCGUCAUACGGAAUGAUGCGCUGCAGCUCCCGGCGACGGGGGUGGAUGCGCUGACAUCGGCGCGAGGCGGAUGAAACGAACGUCCCGGCCUGUGCAAGGCCAGUAUGGCCGCUUAGUUGAAUGUCGAUAAUCGUGGUCCGAGGUCGAACCCCGGCACGGUAGCAGAACCAGGCUUACCUUCACCCGAC
rnacentral:RNase_P_RNA from 1 species